UCUUUAAGGUGCAUUCCUGUGAUGUCUGGAACACUGGAAAGCCUCUACUUAAGGGAAGUCCACGUGGUAGUCCAGCCUGAACUAAUGUCUUGGUGGUAUUUAAUUAGAGAAAAUGAGAGAAGAAAUGCAGGAUGCCAUUUCACAUAAAUCUGAAGCCCCAUCUAGGGUACUGACUUAUUCUUCUGAACAAAUGAAAAAAAUUAUUGAAGUGGAAAAUCUUGGUAAGAGUCAAAGGGGACAGUGUGUUCUGGGACUUCAGGUGUAACUAACAUGUUGGAUUGCAUGGGCUGAACUUGCUUUCAGACAGCUUUUUGUUUAGGUACUUGAUUUCUAACACUAUUUCUUGUGGUUUGAGUUUUCUGGAUGGCUUGAAGCAAUCUAGCCCCUUUCUGAUCACAAAGGAGUGAUUCUUCAUUUCUUGUUUUGGUGGCUACAGGUAAGAAGAGACAGCCCUGGUGUCUGUCUGAACUUGAAGUGACUUCAUAAACAGGCUGCAUUGUUGCUCUGUGUCAAGUAGAUGCUUGAUAGUUUCACACUGAGCAGCAAUAUUGGGUUUUAUGUCUGUAAAUUUCUGAGUGUAAAGAGUUAUUCUGGGCAGCUUAGCCAGUUUACUACUACUAUAUACCACUAAAAUUCCUGGCUUCUGUUCUAUAGAAUAUAGAGUUUAAAGUAAAACAAGCAAAAUAUUCUAGAGGAAGUAUAGAUCCUUCACAGUAGGAAUAUAUAAAAACUUACAUAUAAAAUAUAUAUAACAUUUAUUUGUAAUAGAAUUUUUUUAUAUUAUAUAUUUUUAUAUAAGAAUUCUGAAGCUGCUGUUCCUGUUAGGGGAAAUUCAGAGUCUAUUUUCCCUCUUAGUUGCAUGGCAGCUUUUGUGAAAUGAAGAGCAUGUCAGCUUAGCUUAUCGCUAGACACUAACUGGUGCAUACAGAAAAACUUGAAUGUUAAAAGGAGCAGUUGUGGGUGAGGACCUGCUGCAGUGCUGGCACUGUAUGGUAUCUGCACCCAACAGCAUUCUCCUGCUGGGAUGUUCAAGAAACAGUGCUACAGGAGUUCAGCAUUUGGCAUCGUUGGUUUUCAUCCUGCUGUGUCUGUUAAACCUGGUAUUUUUGCUGAUACAGUCUUUGUCCUUUUCAAGGAUUUGAGUGUGCUUGCUUUCUGUGUUCAUGUUCCAGUGAUGCUGGCCUCUGGAACCUGGCAAGUGCAUUCGGGGCUUUUUGUUUUGUUUUAAACAGGUGCUUUAGGCUACAGAACAACAUGACUUUUGCUGUGUCAGAAGGACUGGCUGUGGAAGAUAACCUGUUUGGCAGUGUCUGCUGCCAAGUCACUGCAUGUCAGAGGGGUGAGAAGCAGCACGUGAGUGGCCACCACAGUGAGUCUGAAGGUCCUGGUGAUGUUGCUGUAAUGCUGCUGUGAAGAACUACAUACCUCUUCCAACUAGAGAACCCUAGCUGGCAUGUUCGUUGCAGUAAUUUAGAAUUAAACAUUCAUUCUAACUUCCCUUACUGCUUUGUAACUUGAAAUAGUGCAUUCUCUUUGGAAACCGGGUCAGGAUAGGGGGGAGGCUUUGCCUUAUAACUGAAAGGGUAGAUUCGUUCACUUUUCCCUCCUGGGAGACAUAGUUCAUCUGAUGCUACCAAGCUGAGUGUGUCAAGUGGUAAUUUGACUGGCAAAGGCUUUAUCAGCUGUUCUCCCUCCCUUCCCUGUCACUGUACUCCACUCUACUCAACCUCUAGGGAGGUAUUUAUUCUGUGCAGAAUGUCACAGCAUUUAAAUAAAACUGAUCUCAAAGCUGCAGCCUGGGAUUGUUUCCUGUUGCUAUGCUGUAAGUGAACACAGGAGUAAGUGAUGGUGGCCGGUCACCUGUGCCUUGUGAGUAGCAAAGUGUGGUCCUGGUUGCUUUUCUGACCAUGUUGCAAGAAAGGAAAAAGACUCUUCCUGUAGCCCUUGCAGAACCUCUAGGGUGAAGGCCAGAGGUUACACAUACUACACCUCAGCAUCACAAAAAGCUUCUACCUCACUUAAAACUAGCCUGUCAUUCUGUGGAGUUGUCUUAUGCUCUUCACUUGAGGAGGCAACAGAUGGCUUUAGCUACUGCAGUACAUGCAACUGUACUGCACAUGGAAAAGCCCAGUGAAAACUGUAGUUAAUGCUGAUUUUUAAUGACCAAUUAAGACUUUCCUGCAUUUUGAACAGGACCAGAUUUAAUGAGAUGGCCCUGCUAUUCCACCUGCUGAUACCCAAAUUCAACUUUGAUAGCACAAGUUGAGCUUUCACUUUGUCCUGAUGGUGUAAUGACUUAGCUCUGAAUUGGGGCUCAGGAAACUUGGGAGAGAAGAACUACAUUUGGAAAUAGUAAUAGUACAAGGCUUUUACUCUCUUCCUUGCUUCAGGUGCUUUAAGAUGUCCCUUGUGACUGCAGGAACCCACACUUCCUCAAGUUGAAGUGCAAAUAACAGAUGAUAUUUUCAACUUUACAAUAACACAAAGUUGGGAGGACGAUACGAUACACUAAAUGGCAGGGCUGACAUCCAGAAGGACCUCAUGAGGCUGGCCCUACAGGAACGUUAUGCAACUCAGCAAAGUCCAGUGCCUGGGAAGGAAGAACCCCAAACAUCAGUCCAAGCUGGAGCCUGCCUGGGGAGCAGCCCUGUGAAAAAGGAGCCAGGAGUCUUAGCAGACAGCAAGCUGAGUGCAAGCCCACAGCGUGCCCUGGCAGUGAAGAGGGGCAACAGCAUCCUGUGUGAUUACCUCUCUUUAUUUGGUGCUUGUUAUACUGCUGCGUCUAGAAUACCACACCCAGUCUCAGCCUCCCAAUAUGAGGUAGAAGGAUUUCAUCACAAAAUAAAGAGUAAGUUAUAUUAUAUGGUUAUUUUGAUAGGACUAACCGUAUU